UACGAAGGUGGCAAGCGUUGUUCGGAUUUACUGGGCGUACAGGGAGCGUAGGCGGUUGGAUAAGCCCUCCGUGAAAUCUCCAGGCUUAACCUGGAAAGUGCAGAGGGGACUGUUCAGCUAGAGGAUGGGAGAGGAGCGCGGAAUUCCCGGUGUAGCGGUGAAAUGCGUAGAGAUCGGGAGGAAGGCCGGUGGCGAAGGCGGCCUUCUGGACCAAUACUGACGCUCAUGCACGAAAGCGUGGGGAGCAAACAGG
rnacentral:rRNA from 1 species